UUGAACUAUCUUAUUCUUUUCAUCAAUAAUUUCUUCCUGUAGUAACUUAUUUGAUUCUAGUAUGGGUUUGAAUACUUCUAUACGGUGAUCUUCUACGUUUUCUAAAUUGCUGCGCUCUUCUAAAUUCUUGAAUUUGUGUUCUUUUCUAUUCUUCAAGAAUGAUUGAACAAUUUCAUUCCUUUUCUU
ensembl:ncRNA ZC53.20 ncRNA